rnacentral:lncRNA from 1 species
GACCGAUACGAUGCGUCGGUGUCUCAAUAUCGUCGCAAAAUGCCCGUGCUUUGAGAUCUCAACAUAUUGAAAACAUUCAAAAAAUGUUUUUUAAGAUUGAUAAAACAUGUUAACAAAACAUUAUAUUAUGCUUACCUGGAACUACUUUAUCCAGAAUCAAUUGAGACUAAGAUGAUGAAAUGAAUGCUUAAGGAUGUCCAUUAUAAUUCCAUCAGAUAUUUAUCAUUGUAGUGAAAUGUUAUUUGAUAUGAUUUCUCUUUUAACAACACUGAUUUUGCAUUUUGAACUGAAAAGUGAUAUUUUGUUAUUCAUGUAGAAAAGCCCCAAUAUUAACAAUCGUAUGCUGUGCCUUACAUUGCUAUACCUGGUUGUUCUUUAAAUCAAUUUUAAACAUGAUAC